GGGAACUUGAAAAUCUAGGCACUUGACUUGGAUUAAGGUCUUUAGUCAUUCAUUCUUUCUUCAAUAUUGCUUUAGGAAGUAUCCACAAGCCUCAGAGCCAACCAGAUCAUCACACUGAGGAAGAAAUAGACUAGGGAUUCUUCAUCAUGAUCUUUAAAGAGCAGCCAUGCUGACACCAUAAGAGUUCCAAAGCAAGGAACCCUCUCAAACCCUGUUGCAGCCUGUCACGUGUACUGUGACAGCACCCAUGCACGUGGAAAGAGAUUCAAAGCAAACUCCUGAAUGGCAAGGUCUCCCUUCUCCCAUCAGGUAAGGAUCCUCCUAUUUGUACUACUUUCCUUCCAGUUGUGCAUGUGGCAUAGGAUUCUGAUUCCUGAGAGAAAUGGAAAAUUUCUCUUGCAUUAUGGUUAGUCUUUAGGAGGAGAGGCUUGCU
rnacentral:lncRNA from 1 species